UGGGGAAUAUUGCACAAUGGGCGAAAGCCUGAUGCAGCGACGCCGCGUGAGGGAUGACGGCCUUCGGGUUGUAAACCUCUUUCAGCAGGGACGAAGCGCAAGUGACGGUACCUGCAGAAGAAGCACCGGCUAACUACGUGCCAGCAGCCGCGGUAAUACGUAGGGUGCAAGCGUUGUCCGGAAUUACUGGGCGUAAAGAGUUCGUAGGCGGUUUGUCGCGUCGUUUGUGAAAACCAGCAGCUCAACUGCUGGCUUGCAGGGGAUACGGGCAGACUUGAGUACUGCAGGGGAGACUGGAAUUCCUGGUGUAGCGGUGAAAUGCGCAGAUAUCAGGAGGAACACCGGUGGCGAAGGCGGGUCUCUGGGCAGUAACUGACGCUGGGGAACGAAAGCGUGGGUAGCGAACAGG
rnacentral:rRNA from 1 species